AUACGGAGGGCGCAAGCGUUGUUCGGAAUUACUGGGCGUAAAGCGCGUGUAGGCGGCUUGGUAAGUCGGGUGUGAAAUCCCGGGGCUCAACCCCGGAACUGCAUCCGAUACUGCCUCGCUCGAGUCCCGGAGAGGAUGGCGGAAUUUCCGGUGUAGAGGUGAAAUUCGUAGAUAUCGGAAGGAACACCAGCGGCGAAGGCGGCCAUCUGGACGGUGACUGACGCUGAGACGCGAAAGCGUGGGGAGC
rnacentral:rRNA from 1 species